rnacentral:rRNA from 1 species
GACAGAGGUGGCAAGCGUUGUUCGGAAUUACUGGGCUUAAAGGGCACGUAGGCGGCUCGAUAAGUCGGAUGUGAAAUCCCCUGGCUCAACCAGGGAACUGCAUCUGAAACUGCCGAGCUUGAGCGCAGGAGGGGAGAGCGGAACUCCUAGUGGAGCGGUGAAAUGCGUAGAUAUUAGGAGGAACGCCGGUGGCGAAAGCGGCUCUCUGGUCUGCAGCUGACGCUGAGGUGCGAAAGCUAGGGGAGCAAACAGG